GGGGUUAUGGCUCAGCGGUAGAGUGCCUGCCUCGAAAGUACGAGGCCCUGGGUUCGAUCCUCAGCCCCA
rnacentral:tRNA from 1 species